AGAGCGAACGCUGGCGGCAGGCCUAACACAUGCAAGUCGAACGGACCCUUCGGGGUUAGUGGCGGACGGGUGAGUAACACGUGGGAACGUGCCUUUUGGUUCGGAAUAGCUCCUGGAAACGGGUGGUAAUGCCGAAUGUGCCCUUCGGGGGAAAGAUUUAUCGCCUUUAGAGCGGCCCGCGUCUGAUUAGCUAGUUGGUGAGGUAAAGGCUCACCAAGGCUACGAUCAGUAGCUGGUCUGAGAGGAUGACCAACCACAUUGGGACUGAGACACGGCCCAAACUCCUACGGGAGGCAGCAGUGGGGAAUCUUGCGCAAUGGGCGAAAGCCUGACGCAGCCAUGCCGCGUGAAUGAUGAAGGUCUUAGGAUUAGUAAAUUCUUCAGUAGGACGAUAAUGACGUACCUACAGAAGAAGCCCGACUAACUUCGCGCCAGCAGCCGC
rnacentral:rRNA from 1 species